rnacentral:rRNA from 1 species
UCCCUAGAUGUUCUGGGCCGCACGCGCGCUACACUGAACAGUUCAACAAGUCUUAACCUUGGCCGAUAGGUCUGGGUAAUCUUUGAACGCUGUUCGUGAUUGGGAUAGACCUUUGCAAUUAUGGGUCUUCAACGAGGAAUUCCUAGUAAACGCAAGUCAUCAGCUUGCAUUGAUUACGUCCCUGCCCUUUGUACACACCGCCCGUCGCACCUACCGAUUGAAUGGUCCGGUGAAAUCUCGGGACGGCGGCUUGGUCGCUUGCGUCCGACUGCUGAAACUUGAUUAAACCAUAUCAUUCAGAGGAAGGUGAAGUCGUAACA